ensembl:lncRNA
AUGUUUUGUAUCAUUCUUUUACCUUUCUCUCUCACUCUGUAUGUGUGUGUGUGUGUGUGUGUGUGUGCGUGUGUGUGUGUAGAGGUGGAAUUCUGUGUGUUUGUUAUGGAUCUGUUGUUUUCAGGUUUUGAGUUGGUCUUCAUCAUCAUUGCUUUCACUAUUAUGUGCUUAUUUGGCCUGGCUGCUGUCUACACACACAAUAGAGAUCAUCAAGAUGACUUAAUUCAGACAGAAGAGAAGAUAAUGCAACAAAAGAGUAACUCAAAGAAAAAACAGCGAGGUGUCCCCAAAACCAACCAAGAGCUACCAUGAACACACGAACAAACAGAUUUCAUAUAAAUACAGAAUCCUUCUGUUGGUGCUCAUUGAAUUAAAAGGCAUGGCGCACCAAAUGCAGCUAAUCAGUGUGUGAAGGUCUCUGACACUGAAAAUGGACUUGCUGUCGAGCUCAUCUUUUAGUUGACCCUGAAGACCAGCUGUCUCCGAUUGGCUUGAAUGCAUGGCCCCAAUUAUUAACCAGUGAAGAAAGGCAAAGAGGAUUUAUUGAAAUUUAAACCCCUCCCCUUUCCCCACAUAAAUCUACUUAUCAUUUGUUAUUAUAAUGAUUUAAAGCCUGUAGCAUUUUUUCACACAGCUUAUGCUUUGGUGGAUAAACUGCUUCUAAAGUUUCUGGGUGGUGGUGGCCUUUGAUAAUAAAAAUAGGAAAAUAUAUUGCUGAAUGUAUAUUGUGCAAAUAUUUUAUAAAUACAGUAUAUUUAUAGUGAUGUUGUACUAUUUAUAUAAUGCAUUUCGUUUGUAUUUUAUUUAUUUUUCCACAAGUAUUUUUGGCAUUUUUUUAUAUUACAAAAUAGGAAUAUUGUCCAGUAUAUAUAUAUAUAUAUAUAUAUAUAUAUAUAUGAAUACAUUUUCUGCCAUAAUCUGUCCCUUUUGCUGUGCCCUAACACAAGGCAGUUAACACCAUUGUGCUGCAGGACAACUACCAUGUAAUUAAUCUUCUGUAACUCACUUUGCACAAAAAGAUCUGCUAAAUAAUUGCUAACUUUGGAUUAUGGCAUUAAGAUACACUCAUCUGGAUCUGGAUAAGAUUUUACAUUGUUUCAAAUUGUGUAUGGAAUGUGAGGUUACAUAGUGUCCUGUUUCAAGACCAUGUGCCCUGAAUGUUUAAGUGCUACUCAGCUGCAAGUCAGUUUCAAGUUUAACAGUUAGAAAGGGAAAAUAAAUCACAAGAUAUCAUUGUUCACUUACAUGAUUCACAUAUUUAAACUAUACUGUGUUAAGCUCCGUGCAUCUUCACUGAUAAAAUCUACAUUAUACAGAAAAGUAAGACUUCCAAUGUCAUUCCUGUUGUAAAUAUGAUAACAGAACAUGGGGCGCCCUCUAAUGGUGAUUAGCAAAAAAAAAAAAAAAAAAAAAAAACACCAAAUCGCCAAUCAUGCACACUAAUUCUCAAUAACUUUCUUACAAAUUCAUUCUCUCCUUACUUUUCCUCAACAGUGAUAUUCCUUCAUGCAGAGUAAUACGGGCAUGUACAUAAGAUUCAGUUACCAAUCUGAGAUAAAACUAAAGUGAAUUACAACCGAGAGAAGCAUCUUUUGUUGUUGUUGUCUGUUUUUGCAAUGUAUUUUAAAACAGAGGACUCUAUAGAUGUCUGCAUAUAUGCAGUAUAGCUGUAUAUGUAUAGAGGAAUCUACAUGGCUGGAAGUUGGAGGAAGGGGAGCAUGAUGGGGGAGUAGUUUGGGUAUGUGCUUCCUGGCAGUAACUUCUUGGAGUUGUAAACUGGAAGGGUGGUAUUGUCUCAGUGUUUGUGUGUGUGUGUGUGUUUGUGUUGAAAAGGGAGGGUAGUGAUCUAGUUGUGGAGGAAGAAAGGUUAUAGGGAAUGCCAUUCUUAUCUGCUAUUGCAACAGUCAACAAAGCUACACACUGAUAACACUUCCUGUUACACUGAACCAAUUUUAUAUAUAUGCACUUGGCAGCAACAAUCACACUCUCAUUUUGAACUCAACACUGGGCUUAAAAACAUAUGGCAAAAAAUACAAAAAAAAUAAAAAAAUAUUCAGGUAAAGAAUCUGGACUACUUUUUAAAUAUUUUGAGUAAUCUACUAAUAUAAUACAAUUAAAAACAGAAUUAGACACAUUCACACCACACAAAAAUCAUUAUUACUAAUGACUAAUUAUAACUAAUUAUUGUAGUGUGUGUGCGCGUGUGUGCAUGUGUGUUUCCACUUUCAGGAGACAAGUACCGCAACUCCUUUUUAGCCCUUUUAGCAAUUUUCAGUUUUGUAAUAAAACUUGUAUCUUGACAGAAUGUUUUUUCUUUUAAAAUAAAUGAAAUAAAAUAUAUUUUUUGUGGGAGGCUGUCUAUAUCUACUGAUUGACACAUCAUGUGCUCUUACUCCUAAAAGAUGGACUCGACCUCUGGCUGCUGGGAUGAGGAGGUUUUAAGGUCAGUGUGUGUCUGCCUCUGUGUGUGUGUGUGUGUGUGUGUGUGUAAAGAUCAAGCAGCAUAAGCUCCAUUUUCAGAAUCCCUUCUGUGUUCCACAGAGAGAUUUUUACAAAUUUACAUGCAGCAUACCUUUGUAUAGGCCACUUGCUGGUUUGGCUUUGAAAUGUAUAAUUUGUAUAAUUCUUUUCUGCAGUACAAAUCAGUGUCAUAUGUACCUAAAUAACAAUUUUCAAAAUUACAACUUAAGGCAUCUAAAUUUCUUCCUCAAAUCGUGUAUGCCAGUAAAGUGGAUGGAGUCAGUAACACUCGUCUCUUAACACAGGGAUUAUUUGAGCAGGCAGCUUAAUCCAAGUAAUGACAUCUAAUCCCUAAUAAAGCAAACAUUACAACACAGAGACACAGACAUACACCCACCCAGACCGUGCUGCGUCUGUGAUUUCAUUACGAGUCAAUGAGCAAACUGACCCCAACAUCUGUGUUUUCAUGCAUGCGACGCAUGCACUCUAGGUAUCAGUCUCUAUGGAUACCAGGUGGCUCCGAAUAAGAAUACAACCUCGUUACCAUAUUCAAACUGAGGGAAUAAAGCAGAGGGCACAAUGUGAAUGACUAGGGAGAAUUAAAAGACAUACACAAAGAAUGUACGACGCCGAUGAGGAACAUUUCUACAAACUCUAUAAAGCAAUAUAAAAGUGUAUAUGCAUAUGUACAUGUCAACACACACACACUUUUAGGGUGAAAAGCUGGUCUUAGGACUGAAGUGUCUGGUUGUUGGUCCGUCUAUCUCAUCCAUUAGCUACAUGCUGGGUUCUAAUCCUAACUGACAUGAAAAAAGCUCAGAGGAUGUGUAGUCACAGACACAGUUGGCACAAAUGGAUGUUUAAUAAGGAUAGGCAGCAUCUAUGACAGCUGCACUAUAUCAGAGAAACCUAAAACACGCACUAAAACUCCCUGACAGGCCAGUAUAUCAAAGAAGAAUUGAGAUAAAUGGACACACACAUGAGAAAGGUCAAUGAGUGGACACACAUAUGGCUCACACACUCGGCUCGCACACAUAUGCACUUCAUUAUGGACACAAACACACACUUACACUCCCAAGAGGUCAACUAAGGCACACUCACACACUCAUUCUAUCCCUAAACCUCCCCCAUGCACUUUAUUAAGCCACUUCAUUACAGUGUUGUUUUAGUAUUAUUUAUAAACUAUAAUUUAAAUUAAUUUUUUUAAUUUGAUUUAAAUAUUUAAAUAAAACACAUUUAUUUUUUAUUUUAUUACAUUCAAUUUUAGGCUUUUUU